rnacentral:rRNA from 1 species
UACGUAGGGUGCGAGCGUUAAUCGGUAUUACUGGGCGUAAAGCGUGCGCAGGCGGCUUUGCAAGACAGAUGUGAAAUCCCCGGGCUCAACCUGGGAACUGCAUUUGUGACUGCAAGGCUAGAGUACGGCAGAGGGGGAUGGAAUUCCGCGUGUAGCAGUGAAAUGCGUAGAUAUGCGGAGGAACACCAAUGGCGAAGGCAAUCCCCUGGGCCUGUACUGACGCUCAUGCACGAAAGCGUGGGGAGCAAACAGG